GGGAUAUAGUGAUUGCAUUACGCGGCACAUCCACGUGUCUUGAAUGGGCCGAGAACAUGAGAGCCCAUUUAGUUGAUAUGCCCGGAAAUCACGACCCUAUCCAUGGACAACCGAAGGUGGAGUGUGGAUUCUUGAGCCUACACAAAACCGGUGGAGCUCAUGUGCCAUGUCUAGCGGAAUCAGUGAUGGAAGAGGUAAAAAGGCUCAUGGA
rnacentral:misc_RNA from 1 species